CUUGUGCGUUGAUUGUCAAGUAUAUGUCAAAAAAUCUUUUAAUAAAGAUAUAAUAAAUUAUUAAAAUAUUAUCACAUUCUAUAAACGUUCUAUAUAACCAUUUUGUAUACAAAAUAUUCAAUUUUUUAGGAUACAACUUGAAACGAUACCAAUAAUGUGAACAUAACCUCAAUAUUAAAAUCAACAAACCACAAUGAAAGUAAAUCUUCAUUAUUUUGUGUUAUUUAAUUAUAACAAUCAGCAUUUUGGUUUCACCUACGGUUAUUUGAAACUACACUUGAUUUAGAUUCUUACUUUGGCUUCUUAUUCAUCAACACAAGUUUAAAAUGUUGAUGUAAAUACUGGAGAUGAAAUCUUUUUAUGUAAGAAUAUGAAUUUAAGAACAUCCAUAAUAGAAGAAAUCAAUGGAUGGAUGUUGUUGAAAGUAAAUAUAAUGAUUCACCAAUAGAGCAUGAAUCGUAGGUCACUGAGAUGACCCAUACCAUAGGAGGAGAAGGUUUUGAAGAUUUAGUUAAGGCAGAUAUUGAAGAAAUAAUAGCUGAUGAAGAACUGAAUGAAGAUGAUUUAAUUAACAUGAUUCAUGAAACAAACAAACAUGAUGAAGACAAUGAUUACGAUGAGUAAUCUGAAUCACUUGUGUUCACAGCAAGAAUCAUAAGCAUAGGACUUGUAUUGGGAAGAAAUUUGGGCAACCAUUUCAUACAAUAUGACACAAAUGUUGAUCAAGCUCUCAGAUUUCAGCAAGACCUUCAUAAAUGCUUAAAUCAAUAUGAAAGAUUUUAAUUUUUUUAAAGAUUUUCUAUAAAGAUCUUCCCUAAUUCUUCAACCAUUGAGUCAGAAUCCCAUCAAGAAAGUUCAAGUUAUGAGAGUUUUACACGAUUUUACUUAGCAAAAUUACAAUAUUAAUUUAAAAAUUGAUUUCAAAACACUCAUUUUAAUAAAAGUUAUUUAUAUCACCGGCAGGUAGCGCUGUAUAUUGUUAUAGAAAACGAUAUUAUUUAGGUUAUAUAAAUAAACAUUGAUGGUAAUAAAAUUUUUUGUAAACAAUUACAUUUAAAUGA